rnacentral:sRNA from 1 species
CUUGACCGAUCCGAGCAGCAGCGGACGUUCGCGGUCGCGGCCGUAGGUGGCCAGAAGUGCGUGUGCCUC